GACGAACGCUGGCGGCGUGCCUAAUACAUGCAAGUCGAACGCUGAAGGAGGAGCUUGCUUCUCUGGAUGAGUUGCGAACGGGUGAGUAACGCGUAGGUAACCUGCCUGGUAGCGGGGGAUAACUAUUGGAAACGAUAGCUAAUACCGCAUAAUAGCAGUUAUUGCAUGAUAACUGUUUGAAAGGUGCAAUUGCACCACUACCAGAUGGACCUGCGUUGUAUUAGCUAGUUGGUGGGGUAACGGCUCACCAAGGCGACGAUACAUAGCCGACCUGAGAGGGUGAUCGGCCACACUGGGACUGAGACACGGCCCAGACUCCUACGGGAGGCAGCAGUAGGGAAUCUUCGGCAAUGGACGGAAGUCUGACCGAGCAACGCCGCGUGAGUGAAGAAGGUUGUCGGAUCGUAAAGCUCUGUUGUAAGAGAAGAACGAGUGUGAGAGUGGAAAGUUCACACUGUGACGGUAGCUUACCAGAAAGGGACGGCUAACUACGUG
rnacentral:rRNA from 1 species